rnacentral:rRNA from 1 species
AGAGUUUGAUCAUGGCUCAGGAUGAACGCUGGCGGCGUGCCUAAUACAUGCAAGUCGAACGCGCAGCGAGAGGUGCUUGCACCUUUCAAGCGAGUGGCGAACGGGUGAGUAACACGUGGAUAACCUGCCUCAAGGCUGGGGAUAACAUUUGGAAACAGAUGCUAAUACCGAAUAAAACUUAGUAUCGCAUGAUAUAAAGUUAAAAGGCGCUACGGCGUCACCUAGAGAUGGAUCCGCGGUGCAUUAGUUAGUUGGUGGGGUAAAGGCUUACCAAGACAAUGAUGCAUAGCCGAGUUGAGAGACUGAUCGGCCACAUUGGGACUGAGACGCGGCCCAAACUCCUACGGGAGGCUGCAGUAGGGAAUCUUCCACAAUGGGCGCAAGCCUGAUGGAGCAACGCCGCGUGUGUGAUGAAGGCUUUCGGGUCGUAAAGCACUGUUGUAUGGGAAGAAAUGCUAAAAUAGGGAAUGAUUUUAGUUUGACGGUACCAUACCAGAAAGGGACGGCUAAAUACGUGCCAGCAGCCGCGGUAAUACGUAUGUCCCGAGCGUUAUCCGGAUUUAUUGGGCGUAAAGCGAGCGCAGACGGUUGAUUAAGUCUGAUGUGAAAGCCCGGAG